UACUAUUUUCAUACCAGAUCAAUUAAAAUCCCUUUUUUUGACUCAAAUAAGCAAUAAUAUGCCUCAAAUUGCAGUUUAAAAUAAUCUUUAAACAUUUUUCUACCCCUAACAAUACAGUAAUACCAAUAAAUACAAAAAUUGUUUCCGUUUUUUAGUUUUAUAAGUUGCCGCUCCCUACUGUAAGAUGGCAGACGGUUUUGCGGACCAUGGUAAUUAGCGUUUUUAUUUUUUACUUUCUACUUUUUGAAUUAGGUACUUUCUUACCAUAUAUGUUCUUUUAUUUCGAAUUCAGGGAGACUGCAUUCUUUGAACUGGUUUUUUAUCUACACUUGUUAAUGGAUUAUUAAGUUUUCUACUUUAUCUUCCUAAAACUGUACAGCAUUGUUGGUAAUGCAAAAUAAUGAAGAGACUAUUUUUGGAGGGAAAGAUUUAUUAUCGAAAUACAUAGUAUUUAUAAUGUUGCAUGUGCUACAUUAUUUACAGGUAAAUGUUUGUUUACAGGAAAUGAAUUGAAGGAAUAUUUAUUAGAAGACUUUUCCACAAUAAUAAGAGAAUUAUUUUUUGUGCGAUUUGGUCGGUCAGUAGCCUGCGAGAUAUAACACUCCUCACCAUUUUGGUAUUUUGUUGAUGGGAAGUGCCAACAGAUUGUGCAAUCUUACAAUUAGUGGAACGCGGUGCAUUCGUUGCGACGGAAUAAUCGCGAAGAUACGUCGCAAAGAAUCGCACGUAGCCGCGAUGCGAAAUGCAUUCGAAUGUCAACAGAGAACGCCUUGAGAGUGUCAUCAAUGCAAAUCGACGAUGACGGCUACGGAAAUAAAUCCGCAACAACGAUGUACAUGAUCGCAGCGUAUAAAUACUUGACACUAGCAUGCAAUUUAGUAAGUCAUUCUUUCUAGGGUCCUGUAUAAAAAAGGGUAUCCCGCUAGACAUACAUGUUUUUCCACUUUUGUUAGAAUGAACGGAAUUUCAAGGGUUUGCACACCGUUUAUUUGGCAACGCUGCACGCUGCAUAUUUCACUGUCAGCCUGUUUACAAUAAAAUUAACUCUCGCUCGUAAGGAAUAAACAGAAUGAACCAGAGGAAGGGUUCACCGGACGUAUCUUUAUGAGAAUACAAUUUUUCACAAUGCCAGAGGUAUUUGUUAAUUUUUCAAAUUGAGUGCAAAGUUCUGAAUGAUUUGCAGGUAUCUCCCUAGAGGAUUUCUAAGUAUAACCUUCCACCAUUUGUUUCUUAGCUCAACUUAGAACCCCCUUCAAAGAACAUGAAUCAAGAGAAUUACCGACAUCCAUUCCAGGCUAGAUCAUAGCGAGUAUAUUUUCUAGGUUAUGUAAUGAAUUUUAACCGACUUCUUCAUUACUCAGAAAUUGAAAGAACACGUUUAUACUUGCAGAGUAGAGUGCGGCCAUACAUCACGGACGUAUUUAUACACGCGGAAACCCGUGCGAAACUCUGUUCUUCAACAACGACGCGGCGUCGCGCGUGCGGCACUAAUUAAUGAUUUAAGCAACACUAAGCGGCCGAGUUUCGUAGCGUACGACUCUCACGCGUCUGCGUUUACGCUUCUCGAAGCCAGCGGCGAAGGUACGCGCCACGUAUAAUUACAAUCAUCUCGUGAGAAUCAUUUAUGCAAUUAGCGGUCUCGCCUUUCAGGAAGCGUUCGAAGAAAACAUGCCCGCGGUAUACCGAUCCUCUCGUUUUCUGCAAACCAUCGGUAAGCGAGACUCUUUGGGAACCUUGGCUCUCUUCCCAAACUUCGUCAGGUUCACGAGUACCUCCGAGAACAAUGUUGUUUCUGUCCCACGCCAAUGUAACAGAAUACGGAGUGCAUCAUCAUAUGGCUUUUGGAAAUUCUAGCAUGUGGACUUUUGAAGACUUAUAUUUACAUUUACAUUAAUAUUUUACAUCAUACGUUUGUCAUAUCCGACUUCACUUUAAAGGGUUCAGACCCUGCUAAGGUAACUUUGCUGCUAUACUAUUGUAUCCUAGUUAUUAUUAUAAUAGUGUCUUGAACGUAGGGGAAGUCGUCACGACAGCGACGAAGAAAGCCUUGAAGCGAUAAGGGUUGGCGACUCGGUGACGACAAGAAGAAAAAUUCGUGAGGGUGGCCCUCGAGGGGAUGUCCGCAGGAUUUCGCCCAGCUGGCAAAGCGAGGCCAAGCCGACACUGGUAUUGAUUACGAAGGAAGACCGCACCCUCUGCCACCCUUUUGCUCGGGCCUCGACGUAACGGGGUUGGCCAACGGCAAACGCUGCGAUACACUGCAUCGAGAGAGAAAUCCUGCGCAGUCGUCGCUGAAUCUCUGCGACUGCCCCUCUAUUCAGACUCCAGACGAUCAAUUCUCGCACCCUCAUGCCAAGGAAAUUCACUUCUUUUGUCUGCAUUUUAAGAUACCUUUCUUUUCAUACUUUGCUGAAGACAUUCUAUGCCCAUAAAUUAACGUUGCAGUAAAAAAUACUUCGUCUUAAAGAAAGCUAUUGUAGAAGAAAUAUGAGUACAAAAUGUUAGCAACAAUUCUUGAAGGUUGAAGCGGUACGAAGUAUAUGCAAAUAUGAUUUGUGUAGCAGCAUAAAUAUGAGAAGAGAUGAUGUUUCAUUGCAGCUUUCAAAAUGGAGUAAAAGCCAUUCCGCAUUGCCAAAUUUAGGGAUGAACCAACCCCUCGGAGGGAUGCUGCUCCAAUCAGAGCCACGUUCCCCUAUGGGGCAUCUCGCGAAUCAGAUCUGCGCAGCAUCCCUUCGGACCAACCCCUGCAAGAAAAAUGGCGGACACCUAUGCCUUCGAAUUAAUUCGUACAUCGAUGCACAUCGACAGGAACUAAUUUGUCGGAAAGGGGAAAGGCCAAUUACUGGAAUAUCGAGACCUUCGAGACACGGUGGUUGGCGAUAUUCGUGGUUGAUGAUCUCGAAUAUAUUAUCGAGGAUGAAGAGAGAGUCCCUCUCUGUUUAUAAGCAUCGUUGAUUUCAGAUACGAGGCUGCAGCGUUCCAGAAGCCUCGAGCCUCUUUCGCGGUGGCUGGUUUGGACUCGCCCAACCGGUAGUGUGGUCGAGGAACCAGUGAACGUCCUCCUUUUUGCCCCUUUUUUCGACCCGUUUUCAUUGACAUGAGAUAUGAACGGUUCUAAGAAAUUAAUAUCGCCGAUACGCGAUGCACGAUCGCUUUAGCCAUCGAGAGCAACUGGAAUUCGCCGAUUAAUUUCGACGAUUGUAGCUGAUUGCUAUUAAGUGAAUUUGGUGGAUGCACUUUUGUAUUACUGCAGUAGACACUUUGCAAAAUUUAGAGAAGCUUAGACUUGUGGAUAUCUCAAGAAUACACCUUAACUGGAACUUAACCUAACCUGACUUUGAGGAACUUAAUGCAGUACCUUAGAACUGGAACUUAACCUAACAUAACUUUGGAGAACUUAAUG